UACGGGGGGGGCGAGCGUUGUUCGGAAUUACUGGGCGUAAAGGGCGCGUAGGCGGGCGGGUAAGUCCCUCGUGAAAGCCCACGGCUCAACCGUGGAAUUGCGGGAGAUACUACUUGUCUUGAGUCCGGGAGAGGAGUGUGGAAUUCCCAGUGUAGCGGUGAAAUGCGUAGAUAUUGGGAGGAACACCGGUGGCGAAGGCGGCACUCUGGACCGGAACUGACGCUGAGGCGCGAAAGCUAGGGGAGCAAACGGG
rnacentral:rRNA from 1 species